AGAGUUUGAUCCUGGCUCAGAAUGAACGUUGGCGGCGUGGAUUAGGCAUGCAAGUCGAGCGAGAACCCGCAAGGGGGACAGCGGCGAACGGGGUAGGACAACGUAGGUAACGUACCCUCGGGGCGAGGACAGCCACGGGAAACUGUGGGUAAUACUCGAUAAACUUCCCAAUCAUUAUGGAAGGGGAAGCAAUGGGUGUGAUUCCACCUGGGGAGCGGCUUACGCAGUAUCAGCUUGUUGGUGAGGUAACGGCUCACCAAGGCGACGACGCUUAGGGGGUGUGAGAGCAUGGCCCCCACCACUGGCACUGAGACACUGGCCAGACACCUACGGGUGGCUGCAGUCGAGAAUCUUCGGCAAUGGGCGCAAGCCUGACCGAGCGACGCCGCGUGCGGGAUGAAGGCCUUCGGGUUGUAAACCGCUGUCAGAGGGGAUGAAGUGUGCGGGGGUACUCCCCUGCACUUGACAGAGCCUCAGAGGAAGCACGGGCUAAGUUCGUGCCAGCAGCCGCGGUAAUACGAACUGUGCGAACGUUAUUCGGAAUCACUGGGCUUAAAGGGUGCGUAGGCGGUUAUCCAAGUCAGGUGUGAAAUCUCUCGGCUCAACCGGGAAACUGCGCUUGAAACUGGGUGACUGGAGGGAUGCAGGGGUGUGUGGAAACUUUCCCGGGUGGAGCCGGGUGAAAAUGGUGUAGGAUAUCCGGAAAGGAAACGCCCAGCAAGCGAAAGGCGGGCACCACUGGGGCAUUUAACUGACGCUUGAGGCACGAAAGGCUAGGGGGAGUGAACGGGGAUUAGAUACCCCGGUAAUCCCUAGCCGUAAACACUGAGCACUGGGGGAGGGAGGCUUCGGCCUUCUUUCCCGUAGCGAAAGCGUUAAGUGCUCCGCCUGGGGAGUAUGGUCGCAAGGCUGAAACUCAAAGGAAUUGACGGGGGCUCACACAAGCGGUGGAGCAUGUGGCUUAAUUCGAGGCAACGCGAAGAACCUUAUCCUGGGUUUGACAUGUACGGAUUAACCCGAUGAAAGUCGGGCCACGCUCGCAAGAGUGGAACGUGCACAGGUGCUGCAUGGCUGUCGUCAGCUCGUGUCGUGAGAUGUCGCGUUAAGUCGCUAAACGAGCGAAACCCCUAUCUUUAGUUGCCAGCGCGUCAUGGCGGGGACUCUAAAGAGACUGCCGGUGUCAAACCGGAGGAAGGCGGGGAUGACGUCAAGUCCUCAUGGCCUUUAUGCCCAGGGCUGCACACGUGCUACAAUGGCCGGUACAAUAGGUUGCCACCUUGCAAAAGGGCGCUAAUCCCCAAAGCCGGUCUCAGUUCAGAUUGUCGUCUGCAACCCGACGGCAUGAAGGCGGAGUUGCUAGUAACCGCGCGUCAGCCAUAGUGCGGUGAAUGCGUUCCCGGGCCUUGUACACACCGCCCGUCACAUCAUGGGAGCUGGUAACACCUGAAGUCGGUGACCGAACCGCAAGGGGGGAACUGCCUAAGGUGGGACUGGUGACUGGGAUGAAGUCGUAACAAGGUAACCGU
rnacentral:rRNA from 1 species